GCCAGACUCCUACGGGAGGCAGCAGUGGGGGUUAUUGCACAAUGGGGGAAACCCUGAUGCAGCGACGCCGCGUGUGGGAAGACGGUCUUCUGGAUUGUAAACCACUGUCCUCAGGGACGAAAAUGACGGUACCUGGGGAGGAAGCUCCGGCUAACUACGCGCCAGCAGCCGCGGUAAUACGUAGGGAGCAAGCGUUGUCCGGAAUUACUGGGUGUAAAGGGAGCGUAGGCGGGGAUGCAAGUUGGGUGUCAAAACUACCGGCUCAACCGAUAGUCGCACUCAAAACUGCAGCUCUUGAGUGAAGUAGAGGCAGGCGGAAUUCCUAGUGUAGCGGUGAAAUGCGUAAAUAUUAGGAGGAACACCAGUGGCGAAGGCGGCCUGCUGGACGAUGACUGACGCUGAGGCUCGAAAGCGUGGGGAGCAAACAGGAUUAGAUACCCUCGUAUU
rnacentral:rRNA from 1 species